UGACCCAGACGUGAAUUGAACACGCAACUUUCUGAUCUGGAGUCAGACGCGCUACCGUUGCGCCACAGAGUC
rnacentral:tRNA from 13 species